rnacentral:rRNA from 1 species
GACGAACGCUGGCGGCGUGCUUAACACAUGCAAGUCGAACGAAGUGGCGAACGGGUGAGUAACGCGUAAUCAACCUGCCCUUCAGAGGGGGACAACAGUUGGAAACGACUGCUCAUACCGCAUACUGAAGGAGGGGCUUGCGUCUGAUUAGCGAGUUGGGGGGGUAACGGCCCACCAAGGCGAUGAUCAGUAGCCGGGCUGGGAGGGUGAACGGGCACAUUGGGACUGAGACAAGGCCCAGACUCCUACGGGGAGCAGCAGGGGGGAAUCUUCCGCAAUGGACGAAAGUCUGACGGAGCAAAGCCGCGUGGGUGAUGACGGCCUUCGGGUUGUAAAGCUCUGUUAAUCGGGACGCGGUACCGGAAUAGAAAGCCACGGCUAACUACGUGCCAGCAGCCGCGGUAAUAC